CUGCCACGAUCCACUGAGAUUC
rnacentral:snRNA from 1 species